AUUGAACGCUGGCGGCAGGCCUAACACAUGCAAGUCGAACGAGUGGCGGACGGGUGAGUAAUGUCUGUGAAACUGCCUGAUGGAGGGGGAUAACUACUGGAAACGGUAGCUAAUACCGCAUACCAUCAGAUGUGCCCAGAUGGGAUUAGCUAGUUGGUGGGGUAAAGGCUCACCAAGGCGACGAUCCCUAGCUGGUCUGAGAGGAUGACUGUGCACACUGGAACUGAGACACGGUCCAGAGUCUAAAGGGAGGCGGCAGUGGGGAAUAUUGCACAAUGGGCGAAAGCUUGAUGCAGCCAUGCCGCGGGUAUGAAGAAGGCCUUCGGUUUGUAAAGUACUUUCAGCGGGAAGGCGUUACCCGCAGAAGAAGCGCCGGCUAACUCCGUGCCAGCAGCCGCGGUAAUAC
rnacentral:rRNA from 1 species